CCUACGUGAGGCAGCAGUGGGGGAUAUUGCACAAUGGAGGCAAGUCUGAUGCAGCGACGUCGCGUGAGGGAAGACGGUCCUCGGAUUGUAAACCUCUGUCUUUGGGGAAGAAAAUGACGGUACCCAAAGAGGACGCGCCGGCUAACUACGUGCCAGCAGCCGCGGUAAUACGUCGGGCGCGAGCGUUGUCCGGAAUUACUGGGUGUAAAGGGAGCGUAGGCGGGUGAGAAAGUUGAAUGUUAAAUCUACCGGCUUAACUGGUAGCUGCGUUCGAAACUUCUUGUCUUGAGUGAAGUAGAGGCAGGCGGAAUGCGUGGUGUAGCGGUGAAAUGCGUAGAUAUUAGGAGGAACACCGGUGGCGAAGGCAGCCUGCUGGGGUUUAACUGACGCUGAGGCACGAAAGCGUGGGGAGCGAACAGGAUUAGAUACCCGAGUAGUC
rnacentral:rRNA from 1 species